AACGAACGCUGGCGGCAUGCCUAACACAUGCAAGUCGAACGAGACCUUCGGGCCUAGUGCCGCAGGGUUGGUUAAGCGGGGGGAACCGGCCCUUGGGUUGGGAUUAACUCCCGGAAAGGGGUGCAAAUACCGGAUAUUGUCUUGGGCCCAAAGAUUUAUCGCCUUUGGAUGGGCCCGCGUUGGAUUAGCUAGUUGGUAGGGUAAAAGCCUACCAAGGCGACGAUCCAUAGCUGGUCUGAGAGGAUGAUCAGCCACACUGGGACUGAGACACGGCCCAGACUCCUACGGGAGGCAGCAGUGGGGAAUAUUGGACAAUGGGCGAAAGCCUGAUCCAGCAAUGCCGCGUGAGUGAUGAAGGCCUUAGGGUUGUAAAGCUCUUUUACCCGGGAUGAUAAUGACAGUACCGGGAGAAUAAGCUCCGGCUAACUCCGU
rnacentral:rRNA from 1 species